rnacentral:rRNA from 1 species
UGCCCUAGUAACGGCGAGUGAAGCGGCAACAGCUCAAAUUUGAAAGCUAGCCUUCGGGUUCGCAUUGUAAUUUGUAGAGGAUGAUUUGGGGAAGCCGCCUGUCUAAGUUCCUUGGAACAGGACGUCAUAGAGGGUGAGAAUCCCGUAUGUGACAGGAAAUGGCACCCUAUGUAAAUCUCCUUCGACGAGUCGAGUUGUUUGGGAAUGCAGCUCUAAAUGGGAGGUAAAUUUCUUCUAAAGCUAAAUAUUGGCGAGAGACCGAUAGCGCACAAGUAGAGUGAUCGAAAGAUGAAAAGCACUUUGGAAAGAGAGUUAAAAAGCACGUGAAAUUGUUGAAAGGGAAGCGCUUGCAAUCAGACUUGUUUAAACUGUUCGGCCGGUCUUCUGACCGGUUUACUCAGUUUGGACAGGCCAGCAUCAGUUUCGGCGGCCGGAUAAAGGCUCUGGGAAUGUGGCCUCCACUUCGGUGGAGGUGUUAUAGCCCAGGGUGUAAUACGGCCAGCCGGGACUGAGGUCCGCGCUUCGGCUAGGAUGCUGGCGUAAUGGUUGUAAGCGACCCGUCUUGAAACACGGACC